UCCUACGGGAGGCAGCAGUAGGGAAUCUUCCGCAAUGGACGAAAGUCUGACGGAGCAACGCCGCGUGAGUGAUGAAGGCUUUCGGGUCGUAAAACUCUGUUGUUAGGGAAGAACAAGUGCUAGUUGAAUAAGCUGGCACCUUGACGGUACCUAACCAGAAAGCCACGGCUAACUACGUGCCAGCAGCCGCGGUAAUACGUAGGUGGCAAGCGUUAUCCGGAAUUAUUGGGCGUAAAGCGCGCGCAGGUGGUUUCUUAAGUCUGAUGUGAAAGCCCACGGCUCAACCGUGGAGGGUCAUUGGAAACUGGGAGACUUGAGUGCAGAAGAGGAAAGUGGAAUUCCAUGUGUAGCGGUGAAAUGCGUAGAGAUAUGGAGGAACACCAGUGGCGAAGGCGACCUUCUGGUCUGUAACUGACACUGAGGCGCGAAAGCGUGGGGAGCAAACAGGAUUAGAUACCCUGGUAGUCCACGCCGUAAACGAUGAGUGCUAAGUGUUAGAGGGUUUCCGCCCUUUAGUGCUGAAGUUAACGCAUUAAGCACUCCGUCUGGGGAGUACGGCCGCAAGGCUGAAACUCAAAGGAAUUGACGGA
rnacentral:rRNA from 1 species